GGGGCUGACAGGUUUCGACAUCAGUUUCGCUGGCCGAGCGUGCGACCCGAAUUGCUCAGAUUCGUUAAACGGGGCAAAAAAAUAUCUGCCAACCAGCAGUUCGCUCUCGCCGCCUAAUUUUUAGGUGACAGAGAGCACUCGUGAGUCGUGAGACCGCACGGGGCCAGUUCACCGCAGCCCGGCAACAGAAGCGGUGGAUGACAGCUGGAAAGAAAGCUGACCGCAGGAAAGUCUGUUGACAGGCCGGAAAGACGACUCGCGGUGUUCAACGUAAGUUGAACUCAUUCGACCCACCGAUGGUGUUGCGUUAGCACCGAAGUUGGGAAUGGUCGUAGCACGAACGUUUAGCACCUGAUGGACGGGGGUUCGAUUCCCCCCAGCUCCACCC
rnacentral:tmRNA from 1 species